UCCCUGAUAGCUUAGUUGGUAAAGAAUCUGCCUGUAAUGCAGGAGACCUGGGUUCAAUCCCUGGGUUGGGAA
rnacentral:tRNA from 1 species